GACACGCUUGCAUAACACUGAAGAAAAUCGUGCAAAGCAUUCUUGGUACAAUACGAUCUUAAGAGAAGCUGCAAUGCACGACCAAGUCGUCUUCUUUAAUAUCACAAGGAUGACACCAACUACAUUUGAGGAUCUUCUUCUGCGUUUGGGUACAGUGCAGUCAUUGCAUAAAAAGGACACAAAGUAUCGCAAGUGCAUACCACUAGGUACCAAAAAUAUCCAAAUAUCAACACAAUUGCAGAACAUAUUUUGUUCUAUAGGUGCACGACUGGCCCUAACACUCCGUUUUCUUGCUACUGGCGAUAACCUCAGAAGCAUUGGCUACGCCUUCCGUGUCGGGCAUUCUACUGCAACGGAAUCAGUCAAUACUAUCACAGCAGCCCUCGUUCAAGUUCUAAAAGGGGACGUAGUGAAAAAACCUUCAACAGAAGAAUGGAGAACAAAGGCGAAUGAGUUCUAUAACCGCUGGAAUUUCCCCAACUGUGUUGGUGCUGCAGAUGGUAAACACAUUUCAAUCCAAUGUCCUGCCCACUCAGGUUCUUUAUACUACAACUAUAAGGGGUUUUUCAGUAUGGUGCUUCUGGCUAUCUGUGACGCUAAUUAUUGUUUCACGCUGGUUGACUUUGGAGCAUACGGCAGAUAAAACGAUAGAAGUGUCUACAACUCUUCCAAAUGGAAAAAGCAAUUUGAAACGAAUUCCUUGGGACUACCUCCACCUAGUCGUCUCCCAGAAGCGAAUCCAAGUUAUUACCCUGAGAUGCCUUAUGGUGUUGUAGCUGAUGACGCUUUUCCUCAAGAAGUGUACAUGUGGAAGCCUUAUCCAGACCGCUGCACGGGUCUCAUGGCCAGGAUGUGGAUGAUAUACAACUACAGGCUCUCCAGAGCAAGACGGACUAUUGAAAACGCUUUUGGAAUCAUGGCAGCACGCUGGCGGGUCUUCUUGAAACCGAUUCCUUUUCAUCCAAAGAAUGUGAAGAAUUUAGUCCUUGCAGGAGUGGUGCUGCACAAUUUCCUCUCAGUUGCUGAUCCUAGGUAUGGUGAUGCAAGUUACGGUGACCGCUAUCGGAACGGCACAU